rnacentral:lncRNA from 1 species
GCUGCCAACCGUGCCUGCAGCCCGUGGCCUGAACGCCUUCCAGGUCUCUGCAGGGCCUCACCCGCCCUGCCAGCUCUGGGCAGCUGCUGCUUUGGGGCAGCCAGGGAAAAUUCCUCACCUGACCCCUAGCCAGAGAUGAGAGGUGUCCAGGCCUCAGAACCGCUGCCCUGCCUCCCCAGGGACUCUGGCCUUGUGAGAAGCAGUCACCUUUUCCAUGCCAGUGUCCUGAACUUUUCGGGGUCACUCUCAGGCAGGUACGGCCAGCACUGAGUCCUCGAGGGCCUGGAGCACCGCAGGGGAGACAUCCCGGUCAAGCUGAGCUCCCCCGACGCCUGGCCAAGCACUGAGAC